GGCAUGGAUCGGUCUCUAUGAUGAUACAAUAAACAGCUGGAAAUGGUCCCUAAAUGACAGCAGCUUCUAUGGUCCUGGAGAAUAUUCAUUUAGGAACUGGAAUCCUGGCGAGCCCAAUGACCAGUAUGGACAACAGCAUUGUGUUCAGUUUAAUGGCUCUGUGGGCCGAUGGGAUGACGUUCAGUGCACAGAAACAAGGCAGUUUGUGUGCUAUAAUGGUACAGUAGGUGGAUCACCAUCCUAUGUUUUGAGUAGCAUUUCAGUAAACUGGACAGAAGCUCAGAAAUUCUGCCGUCAGAAUUAUGUUGACCUGGCCAGGUAAAUAACAAGACUGUAAGCAAAUGCUGCAUUAAUACCAACACUCUAUAUAAAGAUGAAUUAUAGUUCUGGUUCAUGAAUUACAGACAUUUUCCUCUGGGUUUUUGUUUUGUACUUUAAGUUGAUGUGUUAUUCUCUUUGUAAACACUUGGUCCUGGUUCGUUUUGGCCCUAAGCACAAUCCAUUGUUUCUUUCUGUUAACCGUUUUCCACUUACUUCCUGUUGCUNAACUCAAAGCGGAAAAAAGUGAGCCGCAUUAGCUCCUGGAGAUGUGACGUCAAUGCCUUAGGUGCAAAGAGCCCAUUCGUUCCUAAGUCGUCAGUAUCGGACGCUUAGGGAACGGUACAGCAUUCAAUGAGAGAACCCUUCGCGUCACAUAUUGACGCCAAGGGGGUACCCUCGGCGUCAAUAUGUGACGCCGAGGGUACCUG